UGGGGAAUUUUGGACAAUGGGCGAAAGCCUGAUCCAGCAAUGCCGCGUGUGUGAAGAAGGCCUUCGGGUUGUAAAGCACUUUUGUCCGGAAAGAAAUGGCUCUGGUUAAUACCUGGGGUCGAUGACGGUACCGGAAGAAUAAGGACCGGCUAACUACGUGCCAGCAGCCGCGGUAAUACGUAGGGUCCAAGCGUUAAUCGGAAUUACUGGGCGUAAAGCGUGCGCAGGCGGUUGUGCAAGACCGAUGUGAAAUCCCCGAGCUUAACUUGGGAAUUGCAUUGGUGACUGCACGGCUAGAGUGUGUCAGAGGGGGGUAGAAUUCCACGUGUAGCAGUGAAAUGCGUAGAGAUGUGGAGGAAUACCGAUGGCGAAGGCAGCCCCCUGGGAUAACACUGACGCUCAUGCACGAAAGCGUGGGGAGCAAACAGGAUUAGAUACCCUGGUAGUCCACGCCCUAAACGAUGUCAACUAGUUGUUGGGGGAUUCAUUUCCUUAGUAACGUAGCUAACGCGUGAAGUUUGGACCGCCUGGGGAGUACGGUCGCAAGAUU
rnacentral:rRNA from 1 species